GCCAUGGAGACGGCCGCCGCGCGGGAAGCUGCUCAUCACGGUCAGGUGUGCCUCGGCCCGCACAGCUGUGCUUUUUAGGAUUGAGAGAACAGAGGGCGACUUGGGCUUCUACUGGAUUACAAGUCCCAUCAGCCACCUCUGGGGUGCUGAUGGGGAUCGUCCCUUCUUCCAACAGAGAACUUUAUCUUGUUGAGCAGGAAAAUGCUUAAAAUGCUGUUUUAAAAAAAACUGAAAAUUUUAUAAAUGCAAAAUAAAAUAAAGAUUACAUGCAGAAUUUA